rnacentral:rRNA from 1 species
UACGGAGGGGGCUAGCGUUGUUCGGAAUUACUGGGCGUAAAGCGCACGUAGGCGGCUUUGUAAGUUAGAGGUGAAAGCCCAGGGCUUAACCCUGGAAUUGCCUUUAAGACUGCAUCGCUAGAAUUGUGGAGAGGUAAGUGGAAUUCCGAGUGUAGAGGUGAAAUUCGUAGAUAUUCGGAAGAACACCAGUGGCGAAGGCGACUUACUGGGCUAUUACUAACACUCAGAGACGAAAGCUAGGGUAGCAAAUGGG